AGUGAACGCUGGCGGUAGGCCUAACACAUGCAAGUCGAACGGCAGCACAGUAAGAGCUUGCUCUGACGGGUGGCGAGUGGCGGACGUGUGAGGAAUACAUCGUAAUCUACUCUUUCGUGGGGGAUCACGUAGGGAAACUUACGCUAAUACCGCAUACGACCUACGGGUGAAAGCAGGGGAUCUUCGGACCUUGCGCGAUUGAAUGAGCCGAUGUCGGAUUAGCUAGUUGGCGGGGUAAAGGCCCACCAAGGCGACGAUCCGUAGCUGGUCUGAGAGGAUGAUCAGCCGCACUGGAACUGAGACACGGUCCAGACUCCUACGGGAGGCAGCAGUGGGGAAUAUUGGACAAUGGGCGCAAGCCUGAUCCAGCCAUACCGCGUGGGUGAAGAAGGCCUUCGGGUUGUAAAGCCGUUUUGUUGGGAAAGAAAAGCAGCAGGUUAAUACCCCGCUGUUCUGACGGUACCCAAAGAAUAAGCACCGGCUAACUUCGUG
rnacentral:rRNA from 1 species